AUUCGAAAGUGUAUCGAAGUAAACGGUGAUCAUUUCGAACAUCUGUAAAAAAAGGCAUACAGAUGACUCCAGGAUGCUCUUAAAACCAGCUUAUACGUUACCAGGACGUAAAGCCACAGAUACACAACAACGCAACUCACUUUGCGUACCACGAAAUGGAGUGCGCAUGAGCGAAGACAGCUACCAUACUAGUAUCGUCAUCUGAACUUUUCUCUCACUUACCCUUUUUAUCACUCUUUCGCUCUUUUUUCAGCAUAUUUUAUUAUGCUUUUAGUGUACUUAGUGAAAAAUAAUUCUUUAUCUGAAUAUACAUUGUACAGUUAUGCAUACAAUUUUUAAAUUAAUUGCAUUGAUACUGAAAAACUGAGAUUUUAUUCUGGAUACAUUGAUAAGUAUAUGUACACUUUGAACUAAACAACGAUUUACAGCAUUAUAGCGCACAAUUGUUACCAUUAUAACAUAAAUAAAUGUUUUUGAUAGUAAGUCA